AUACUUACCUGGUAGGAGAAAUAUUAUGGUCCCGAACGUGGUUUUCCCCGGGGGAGGCUUAUACAUUGUACUCGGCAUAUGCUGAUCUUUGGGAUUUCCCCUGGCGUGGGAAAUUCGACUACAUAAUUUGUGAUAGUUGGGGACUGCGUUCGCGCUUUCUCCUG